GUGUUUGACAUCAGUAGGUACUUUGUCCUUUUUCUUCCCAUGUCUUCUAUUUCCCCAUACAUACUUGCAUCCGCAUUUAUUUAAUGUCCUCUUUCACUUAUCAGGUCACGUAAGAACUUAAUUAUUGCCCUCUUGUUUUUGACACUGGUGAUCAAACCCAGGGGCUCUCUACCACUGUAUUACAUCCUCAUCCCCUUUAAAAAAAUUUUUUUUGAAGGCAAGGUCUCACAAAGCAGUUCAGGUGGAACUUGAACUUGCAAUCCUUCUGCCUCAGCCUCCCAAGAUGCUGGGAUUAUAGGUAGAUUCUUGUUCACUCGAAGUUGGUAAGACUCUAGAGUUGUUCAAGCUUCAUGUGCCACCCAAGUUGAAGGUGAUGUGAGGGUUCAGAAAGUAGGAAUCCAGAGGAAGAGACACAAGUGAGGCUCUUGGAGAAACUGAGCAGUGUUCAGCAACUGAAAGUACUGGCGAUUGAAAAAGAAAUAAAAUAUGGGAAAGAAUCUUCCUGUGCUUCCAGGAGGCCUGGCCUGGAAAGGCCCUGGGAGGGUGUGGUUGGCCUGAGGAAUAUUGAGAAGUGUAUUUUCCUUCCUUUCAAGGAAAUUUUCCUCUUAAAAAACAAACAGCAAUUUCUAAACUUAGGAAUUGAACAAAAGAAAUAUAUUUUCUCUAGGAGCAAAAUUUGCACUAUUGGAAAAGAAAUCGAAUAUGGGAAAGAAUCUUCCCGUAGUUGCCUCAGUAAUGAUUUUCUUUAGUUCACAUAAAGACACAUUUAGUGAAUCCAUUCAGGCUGGCUCAGGUUACGAUGACUGAAACAUAUUAAGCAUUUUUGGGGGGUGGGAAGAGAGGCAGAGAGAGGAGAGGAGGGCGAAGGAGAAAGAAAUAGCUCCAAAUUAGGCACUAGCCUGUUGGGGAUUUGAAAGCUCAUCAAUAAAAUAAAAACUUUUAAAAAACAGCUUUGUGAUGGUCAGCUUUAAAUAUUAAUUAGCCUUUGUUAUUUUCCCUUAGCAAGCUGAGAUUAGUAUUUGUAUUUUAUAUAUGGUUUGGAGGACUGUCACAUUUAAAGGAAUGUCUUGAAGGAUGUUGCUUUGUUUUUUAUUUUGUUUUGCUUUUUUGCAGUAUUGAAAGUAGAAUCCAGUAACUUGCACAUACUAAGCAAGUACUCUACCACUGAGCUCCCCUCCAGACUCUGAAAGGCCUGCUUCUGCUGAGAAAAUCUUUCAUUCUCAACUCCAGAUGCCAGAGUUAAAGCCUCACAGGUUGACAGAGAUGAUCCCUUGGGUUUCCAGAAUUUGGCAGAACAGCUGACGCACUGAUCCUGUCAAUCUCUACUCUCACAGUGAAUCAUUUACAUCUGAGAAGCCCUUGCCUUGACCUUAUAAAAUCAGUAUGUUUCAAUAAUUCUGAAUCAUCUCAAAAAUGGAAUAAUUAGCUUUUAAAUUAAAAAAUCCAAAUAAACAAGUGGUUAGAGAGCACAUCAAAAGUAUUUAAAUAAUAAGUCCUAGCCAAGAAGAUGUAAUCUAUUAUUGUCUUCCCUUGGAUCAAAGAAUACCUACUACCAGAAUGAAGGACUGUGUCCCAAAAGCAGAUUAAAGUUUUUAUCUUCUGCAGACUGAAAAUUGCUGAUAACUUCUAAAAGACAAGAAACAAAACCACAGCUGUUAAACGUCCUGUUGUUACAUGGUGACCAACAAUGCACAUCUGCACACCACGUACAGUCCUUGCUGGUGUUGCAGUUCAUCUGCCCCUCUUACUGCACCUCCUCUACUCUCUGAGCCUGCUACAGUCCUUCAGUUCACUUAGCAAUCUGUAGGAGUCUUGUCGCAAACACCAAAUACUUAUUAAGAGUGGAGGAACCAUUGCUAUUUAUAUGGUGUGUAGUGGGGGCUUCAAUUAUCAUCCCUCCCCUGUAUCCAUUCUCCCAUUUUGUGAACAAUAACAAAAUCCCCAAUAGUUUUCUGAAUUUCCAUGCCUUCCUUGUAGUUAGAUGUGAACACUGAUGACUUUCUGGCCAAUGGCUUGUGAACAGAUGUGAUGAUGAGUCCACUCACCAAGUUGUGUCUGUGAAACAAAGGGGGGUACCUCUUUGUCCCUUCUCUUUCCAUGGGAAAAGAAGCUUGGAAGGAGGGAGUCCCCUAGGGAAACCAAGCAGCAAAAUCAAGAAAAUCUGGAUUUCUGACUCCUUUACCCAGGGGCAGAAGUUCCCAGAUGUUCGCAUUUCACAGUGCAGAGUCUGUAAUGUAAUUUUUCUCAUUGUUUUUGGGUCAAAGUAAUGCAUAAAAAUUCUGUUUUUUAAGUAGUUGUAUUUAAACAAUUUAAUAUGUAUUUCUACCAUAAUGACUUAGAAGCCAUUUAAAAAUUAAUACAAAUAAAUUAAGAAAAAAAAUACUGAUUUCCAUUUUUAAGUAGCCAUAUCUCUUACAUGUAGGAGUAAGGUGUAUGCACUUGUUG
rnacentral:lncRNA from 1 species